UUAGCCCACUAGCUAGCUCACGCCCCAAAAUACAACAAUAAAUUAUCCAUACCCCCAAAUAAACUAAACUACCCAAGACCAAACCAUUUUUCCACCCAAGUACGGGCGACGGAAAAGGAAACAUUGAAGCAACAGCAACAGUACCGCAAGGGAACGCUGAAAGAGAAAUGAAACAAAUCAGUUAAGCAUAAAAAAGCAGAGCUGAGCCCUCGUACCUUUUGCAUCAUGAUUUAGCAAGAAAAAAUCAAGCAAAGAGCAUUUUAGUUUGAUUCCCCGAAACCAAGUGAGCUACUCCAAGACAGCCUCUAAGGGCGCACCCGUCUCUGUGGCAAAAGAGUGGGAAGAUCUUUGAGUAGAGGUGACAGACCUACCGAACCUGGUUAUAGCUGGUUGCUCAGGAAAUGAAUAGGAGUUCAGCCUUUUGUCCUCUUCCUACACAAACUGGGUACACCCACAAGCACUAAAGUAGGACAAAGGAGUUAGUCAAAGGGGGUACAGCCCCUUUGAAAAAGACACAACUUUACCAGAAGGGUUAAGAUCACAACAACUUUUAAGGGCAAGUGUUCUAGUUGGCCUAAGAGCAGCCACCCACACAGAAAGCGUUAAAGCUCAAACACCUGUAAAUCCCUACUAUUCCGACCACAUAAUCUUACCCCCCUAACCAUACUGAGCCUUCCCAUACCCAUAUGGGAGCGGUCAUGCUAAUAUGAGUAAUAAGAGACCCAGAAUCUCUCCCUGCACGAGCGUACAUCGGAACGAACCAACACCGAGAAUUAACGGCCCCAAAGAAGAGGGCACUGAAAUAUCACAAACGGUACACUAGAAAACCAUCCACCACCCCACCGUUAACCUUACACCAGAGUGCACACAAGGAAAGACUAAAAGAAAGAGAAGGAACUCGGCA
rnacentral:rRNA from 1 species